CUUCUUUCAUUUAAUUAAUUUUCGAGUACUUUCUCACAGCCCUACAAAGCCGGAAAUGGAGCACUACUAUACUCUCCAUAUCUUCAAAAAAAUCCCCAAAUCCAGGUGUUUUCCACUUCAAAUCUCGACCGCCUAUCUCAGCGCAAUGUCUUAUCACGUGACUUCCCCGCCGAAUUCGCAAUUGCUCUCCAAUCCCUCGACCAAAACCCUAACGCGUUUGUCAUCAUCCUUCUUCUCCGGAAUCGACAUCAGAACUCUAAACUCUAUCACCAACGAUUCUGGCGACUGACAAGACCUAAAGUUCAUGCAGACGCGAUCACAGCGAUCGAGCGGUGCAGGAAGCCGGUGAUCGCUGCGAUAGAAGGAGCGUGUAUUGGUGGCGGUACUGAUAUUGUGAUAGCCUGUGACAUUUGGUUCCGCAGUAAAGAUGCUUUCUUUUCGGUGAAGGAAGCUGGUUUGGGGUUAACGGCGGAUUCAUGGACAUUACAGAGGUUGUCGGGGAUUAUUGAGCUUGGUAAUGCAAUGGAAUUGGCCUUGACUGGUCUGAGGUUCUCGGGUCAGGAAGCCAGGGAUUUGGGUUUGGUUUAUCGGGUUUUUGGGUCUAGAGGGAUUGCACGCGGGUGUGAGAAUCACAGCAUUUAUUGGUUUUAGCUUUUACCGUUACAAGCAGAGGGUAAUUUGGAUUUUUCAUUUGUUGGUUUUACCGUUACUAGCAGCUGUAAAAUUUAGAAAAUAGUCCAGCGGUGUGUAUUUAAAACUCCCUCAAACUGGGCAGGGCUGGGUCGGGUUAGGUUUUUCUUGGUAUGUACUUAUGGGUGUACAUAACUAGUAUUUAAUUUAACUAACCUUAAUAAUUAAACUAAUAUUUAAUUACAUGGUUAUUAAAA